GACGUAGGGCGCGAGCGUUGUCCGGAUUUAUUGGGCGUAAAGAGCUCGUAGGCGGUUUGUCGCGCUGCGUGUGAAAACGCGAGGCUCAACCUCGCGCCUGCGAGUGGGUACGGGCAGACUAGAGUGCGGUAGGGGAGAUUGGAAUUCCUGGUGUAGCGGUGGAAUGCGCAGAUAUCAGGAGGAACACCGAUGGCGAAGGCGAUCUCUGGGCCGUGAACUGACGCUGGAGGAGCGAAAGCGUGGGGAGCGAAAUGGG
rnacentral:rRNA from 1 species